rfam:Capsicum annuum cultivar Zunla-1 chromosome 12, whole genome shotgun sequence
UAUUGAUGGUGUGGACAGUCCCAAAGAAGAGCCUUGAAGCACUCCCAAGAAUGAUAAAGAUUCUCAUCUGGCUUCUGUUUGAAGCAUAAUAUCUCACUACGAAGUCU